GUAGGUGGCAAGCGUUGUCCGGAAUUAUUGGGCGUAAAGCGCGCGCAGGCGGUUCUUUAAGUCUGAUGUGAAAGCCCACGGCUCAACCGUGGAGGGUCAUUGGAAACUGGAGAACUUGAGUACAGAAGAGGAAAGCGGAAUUCCACGUGUAGCGGUGAAAUGCGUAGAGAUGUGGAGGAACACCAGUGGCGAAGGCGGCUUUCUGGCCUGUAACUGACGCUGAGGCGCGAAAGCGUGGGGAGCAAACAGGAUUAGAUACCCUGGUAGUCCACGCCGUAAACGAUGAGUGCUAAGUGUUAGGGGGUUUCCGCCCCUUAGUGCUGCAGCUAACGCAUUAAGCACUCCGCCUGGGGAGUACGGCCGCAAAGGCUG
rnacentral:rRNA from 1 species